UUGGUGAAGCCGCGAAUGGCUCAUUACAACAGCCACUGUUUACUUGAUCUUGAUUAUCCUACUUGGAUAACUGUGGUAAUUCUAGAGCUAAUACACGCAAUAAAGCUCCGACCUUACGGGACGAGCGCAUUUAUUAGACCAAAACCAAUCGGGCCUCGGCCUGAACGGUGGUGACUCUGAAUAACUGAGCUGAUCGCAUGGUCUUUGUACCGGCGACGCAUCUUUCAAGUGUCUGCCUUAUCAACUUUCGAUGGUAGUUUAUGUGCCUACCAUGGUUGUUACGGGUAACGGAGAAUAAGGGUUCGACUCCGGAGAGGGAGCCUGAGAAACGGCUACCACAUCCAAGGAAGGCAGCAGGCGCGCAAAUUACCCACUCUCGGCACGAGGAGGUAGUGACGAAAAAUAACGAGGCGGUUCUCUAAGAGGCCCGCUAUCGGAAUGGGUACAAUUUAAA
rnacentral:rRNA from 1 species